rnacentral:rRNA from 1 species
UACGGAGGGUGCAAGCGUUAUCCGGAUUCACUGGGUUUAAAGGGUGCGUAGGCGGGCAGGUAAGUCCGUGGUGAAAUCCCCGAGCUUAACUCGGGAACUGCCAUGGAUACUAUUUGUCUUGAAUAUUGUGGAGGUGAGCGGAAUAUGUCAUGUAGCGGUGAAAUGCUUAGAUAUGACAUAGAACACCAAUUGCGAAGGCAGCUUGCUACACAGUUAUUGACGCUGAGGCACGAAAGCGUGGGGAUCAAACAGG